rnacentral:tRNA from 1 species
GGCCAGAUAAUGCAGUGGUUAGCACGUCCUGAAUAUAACGGAAGGCGCAGGUUCGACUCCUGCUCUAGCCA